rnacentral:rRNA from 1 species
UACGUAGGGCGCGAGCGUUGUCCGGAAUUAUUGGGCGUAAAGAGCUCGUAGGCGGCUUGUUGCGUCGACUGUGAAAACCUGCGGCUCAACCGUGUGGUCUGCAGUCGAUACGGGCAGGCUGGAGUUCGGUAGGGGAGACUGGAGUUCCUGGUGUAGCGGUGAAAUGCGCAGAUAUCAGGAGGAACACCGGUGGCGAAGGCGGGUCUCUGGGCCGAAAUUGACGCUGAGGAGCGAAAGCGUGGGGAGCAAACAGG